rnacentral:rRNA from 1 species
CCUACGGGAGGCAGCAGUGAGGAAUCUUGCACAAUGGGGGGAACCCUGAUGCAGCAAUGCCGCGUGGGUGAAGAAGCACUUCGGUGCGUAAAGCCCUGUCAGCAGGGAAGAACAUGACAGUACCUGGCCAUGAAGCCCCGGCUAACUACGUGCCAGCAGCCGCGGUAAUACGUAGGGGGCAAGCGUUAUCCGGAUUUACGGGGUGAAACGGGAGCGCAGGCGGCGUGGCAAGUCAGAGGUGAAAGCCCGGGGCGCAACCCUGGGAGUGCAUUUGAAACUGGCAUGCUGGAGUGCCGGAGAGGUAAGCGGAAUUCCUAGUGUAGCGGUGAAAUGCGUAGAUAUUAGGAGGAACACCAGUGGCGGAGGCGGCUUACUGGACGGUAACUGACGCUGAGGCUCGAAAGCGUGGGGAGCAAACAGGAUUAGAUACCCCUGUAGUC